rnacentral:rRNA from 1 species
CCUACGGGAUGCUGCCGUGGGGAAUAUUGGACAAUGGGCGAAAGCCUGAUCCAGCCAUGCCGCGUGUGUGAAGAAGGCCUUCGGGUUGUAAAGCACUUUCAGUGGGGAAGAAAGCCUUGGGGCUAAUACCCUCGAGGAAGGACAUCACCCACAGAAGAAGCACCGGCUAACUCCGUGCCAGCAGCCGCGGUAAUACGGAGGGUGCGAGCGUUAAUCGGAAUUACUGGGCGUAAAGCGCGCGUAGGCGGUCUGAUAAGCCGGUUGUGAAAGCCCCGGGCUCAACCUGGGAACGGCAUCCGGAACUGUCAGGCUAGAGUGCAGGAGAGGAAGGUAGAAUUCCCGGUGUAGCGGUGAAAUGCGUAGAGAUCGGGAGGAAUACCAGUGGCGAAGGCGGCCUUCUGGACUGACACUGACGCUGAGGUGCGAAAGCGUGGGUAGCAAACAGGAUUAGAUACCCUAGUAGUC